GAGUGUGUUCCUCUCGCCCUGUCAAUAAUCUCCGCUCCCAGACUACUCCGUUCCUCCGGAUUUCGAUCCCCCUUUUUCUAUCUGUCAAUCAGCGCCGCCUUUGAACUGAAAAGCUCUCAGUCUAACUUCAACUCACUCAAAUUCGAGCGGCACGAGCUCCUCCUGUAUCUUCGGCUUCCCCCCCCCUCUGCUCUUUAUAUCUGACUUCUUGUUGUUGUUGGUGUUUUUUUUACCCCCCUUUUUUAUUUAUUAUUUUUUUUGCACAUUGAUCGGAUCCUUGGGAACGAGAGAAAAAAGAAACCCAAACUCACGCGUGCAGAAGAUCUCCCCCCUUCCCCUCCCCUCCUCCCUCUUUCCCCUCCCCAGGAGAAAAAGACCCCAAAGCUGAAAAAAAAGUUCACCUUGGACUGGUCUUUUUCUUGCAAUAUUUUUUUGGGGGGGCAAAACUUUUUGGGGGUAUUUUUUUUUGGCUUUUCUUCCUUCAUUUUUCUUCCAAAAUUGCUGCUGGUGGGUGAAAAAAAUGCCGCAGCUGAACGGCGGUGGAGGAGAUGACCUAGGCGCCAACGACGAACUGAUUUCCUUCAAAGACGAGGGCGAGCAGGAGGAGAAGAGCUCCGAAAACUCCUCAGCAGAGAGGGAUUUAGCUGAUGUCAAAUCGUCUCUAGUCAAUGAAUCAGAAACGAAUCAAAACAGCUCUUCCGAUUCCGAGGCGGAAAGACGGCCUCCGCCUCGCUCCGAAAGUUUCCGAGAUAAAUCCCGGGAAAGUUUGGAAGAAGCGGCCAAGAGGCAAGAUGGAGGGCUCUUUAAGGGGCCACCGUAUCCCGGCUACCCCUUCAUCAUGAUCCCCGACCUGACGAGCCCCUACCUCCCCAACGGAUCUCUUUCGCCCACCGCCCGAACCCUCCAUUUUCAGUCCGGGAGCACGCAUUCCUCUGCGUACAAAACGAUUGAGCACCAGAUUGCAGUUCAGUAUCUGCAGAUGAAAUGGCCGCUGCUGGACGUCCAGGCGGGGACCCUCCAAAGCAGACAAGCCCUCAAGGACGCCCGCUCUCCCUCGCCCGCGCACAUCGUCCAGUGUCCCCUCCCUUGCUGCACUCAGGGACAUGACUGUCAGCACCUGUACCCCCCCUCAGACUUCACUGUCAGCACUCAAGUCUUCAGGGACAUGAAAAGGAGCCACUCCUUACAAAAGGUUGGGGAGCCCUGGUGUUUGGAGUCGAACAAAGUGCCCGUGGUGCAGCACCCUCACCAUGUCCACCCUCUCACGCCUCUUAUCACGUACAGCAAUGAACACUUCACCCCGGGAAACCCGCCUCCACACUUACCAGCUGACGUAGACCCCAAAACAGGAAUCCCACGGCCGCCACACCCUCCGGACAUAUCUCCGUACUACCCGCUGUCGCCCGGCACCGUAGGACAGAUCCCCCAUCCGCUAGGAUGGUUAGUACCACAGCAAGGUCAGCCGGUGUACCCAAUCACGACAGGAGGGUUCCGCCACCCCUACCCCACAGCUCUGACCGUCAACGCCUCCAUGUCCAGGUUCCCUCCCCACAUGGUCCCACCACAUCACACUCUCCAUACGACCGGCAUCCCCCACCCGGCCAUAGUCACGCCAACAGUCAAACAGGAAUCCUCCCAGAGUGACGUCGGCUCGCUCCACAGCUCAAAACAUCAGGACUCCAAAAAGGAAGAAGAAAAGAAGAAGCCGCACAUAAAGAAACCUCUUAACGCAUUCAUGUUGUAUAUGAAGGAAAUGAGAGCAAAGGUCGUCGCCGAGUGCACGUUGAAAGAGAGCGCGGCCAUCAACCAGAUCCUGGGGCGAAGGUGGCACGCACUGUCCAGAGAAGAGCAAGCAAAAUACUACGAGCUGGCCCGGAAGGAGCGACAGCUUCACAUGCAGCUGUACCCCGGCUGGUCCGCACGGGAUAACUACGGGAAGAAGAAGAAGAGGAAAAGGGACAAGCAGCCCGGGGAGACCAAUGACCUGAGCGCUCCUAAGAAAUGCCGAGCGCGCUUUGGCCUUGAUCAACAGAAUAACUGGUGCGGCCCUUGCAGGUGUGUAUAGAUUUCCCAGAUUCGCUGUGCUGGUUUGCAGCUGGUCUCUUCGGUCCUUUCCCCCCUCUCUGGCCUGUCGCUUUGUAGCUCUGUGUGUGGAUCUUAGGAGACACGAGGGCGCGGGACACUGCUCUGUGAGGGACGUGCGUGUCCCCCCGCUGCUGCUAGCCACAAUGCCACUGUAAAACAGCAUCACUUGUGCCUCCUCGGGUCCGCGACAGCAAACCCCCGCACGCCCCUCCCAGGGAACGCGGCCUGCCCGCCCCCCUCCUCACGCCGGCCCAGGAUGGGGCUCAGUGACCUCCACCGUAAUCCUGCCUAGGUAGAAGCAAACAGCGUCACCUUCUUCCCUCCUCUUCUCUUCUCUGUUUUUAUUUAUUUUUCCUUGUUGUUUUUUGGUUUCUGGUUGUUGUUUUUUUUGUGUGUGUGCGUUUUAUCGUUUUAUUUUAUUUUAUUUUUUUUUCCUUUUGACUCAUAGAAGUCCUUUCCUUUCAUGCCCUUGGUGAGGGAAGACAAUCAAAUAGAACCAAGGUGAUGUAGAAGACAAGUCAGCUGUAGCUGAGAUUGCACAUCCAACUGAGCACGACCCACCAUUGUGUUGUAUUUUUUUGUGUUUACCUUAUGCUAACAGAUGCAAAUACUCCAAAGAAGUGUCGGGCACUGUUCGGGCUUGACCGACAGACUUUAUGGUGCAAACCGUGCAGGUAUAUGACCACUGCGAGGCCUUUGGGAAAAUCAAAGCACUCUGUCCUUCUGUACUUAGUGUGUCAAUAUAUUUUGACCCUUUUCCCACCUCCUCCCGCACUCGCAUCAAUGACUAAUGAUCCUCAUUCUUCAAAAUUCCCUUGCUAAUUUUAUGCCGUGUCCUCUCCCCACUUUCUCUUCCUCUCUUCCCCUCUCCUCUUACAAAUGACAUAACGCUGGUGGCAGGGCCCAGACACGACCCUGACAAACCAGGACAGGCAUUUACCCUUUUGUUUGGAAAGCCAGCAUCCUGGAACUGGCCCGGCUCUAUGAAGACUCCCGUGGCCUGUGUGCUGAGCAUAGAAUGAGCAGAAACCGGCAGCAUUAAAUAGCAUUCCCAUGCACUCGGAGUCAAGACACUUGGAGAAGUGCUCUGGGGCAGGCUUCUUUUGGUUUUGUUUUGUUAUUUUGUUUUAUGUCGAAAAACCACACGUCCGCAUAGAGAAACUGGGUUAGCUGACAUCGUUUUACAGGGCUGGACAGAAGCGUGGCAUGGAGCGGCGCGCACCCGCUAAAGGGCCGCAGCAAAGACGCCUGCAGUGCCACGCUGCAGUGCCGCCGGCCCUCGGGGAAGCACACACACAUCUCUGUUUAGAGAGAGAGAGAGAGAGCACUGGUUCCAAAUGACUCAGAAGCGCCAGAUUAAACGCCCACGUUCCACCUGCAGGCUUCCACCCAACCUGUAAUUUCAGGGAAGGUGUAGGUACUUCCUUCUUGGUGGAGGGAUGCCAACUAGUUCCUGUCUCAUUUCCUCUCCUUUAAUGAUCACCUUGGUUAAAUUUGUUGUUUCUUUGUUCUGAUACAAGCAGUCUUUGAAUUUGGAAUAUUGUGAUGGAGAAAAAAAAAGUGCGUUCGCUACAUACAAGGUGAAGGCAGCUGCCUCAGUCCACCCUCUUCAGAUGGAAGCUUACUAGACUCGCCUCCUCCCUCCCCCAACCUUCUAGGCUCCCCUGCCCAAGACGCCAAGUCACAGACUGAGCAGACCCAGCCUCUCUCGCUGUCCCUGAAGCCCGACCCCCUGGCCCACCUGUCCAUGAUGCCUCCGCCGCCCACCCUCCUGCUUGCCGAGGCCGCCCACGGCAAGGCCCCUGCCCUCUGUCCCAACGGGGCCCUGGACCUGCCUCCCGCCGCUUUGCAGCCGCCCAUCAUGCCCUCCUCAUCUCUUGCACAGCCGUCGACAUCUUCCUUACAUUCCCACAGCUCUCUGGCCGGGACCCAGCCCCAGCCUCUCUCCCUGGUAACCAAGUCUUUAGAAUAGCUCCAGCCGCGUCAGCCCUGGUUGUGUCGUGUAGUGCUUCAUUUCGCUUUUCUUUCUUUCUCCCCCCGCCCUUUUGGAAGGUUUUGUUUUGUACUCUUAAUUUUGUGCCACGUGGCUACAUUAGUUAAUGUUUAUCGAGUUCAUUGGUCAAUAUUUGACCCAUUCUUAUUUCAAUUUCUCCUUUUAAAUAUGUAGAUGAGAGAAGAACCUCAUGAUUCUACCAAAAUUUUUAUCAACAGCUGUUUAAAGUCUUUGUAGCGUUUAAAAAAUAUAUAUAUAUACAUAACUGUUAUGUAGUUCGGAUAGCUUAGUUUUAAAAGACUGAUUAAAAAACAAAAAGGAAAAAAAAAUGAAGCAAUUUUGAAGCAGCCCUCCCGAAGGAGUUGGUUCUGUAUUAUUUGUAUUAAAUACGAGCUUGCGAACCAAUCAUUUUACAUCUGGUUUUUAAACCACAAGGGCACGACGAAUGCAGUGCCGCCCCCUUCUUCUCCCGUGUGAAACCACCUUUAUUGUGAUGUUACUUGUUAUUGUUUAAAUGUACAGAAACAAAGGGUUAAAAUGUGUUAAUAUACCUUGUUCCAUGGUGUUGUUCCUUUGGGGGGAGGGGAUGCCACUCAACAGUGAAUGGAAUCACAGCGCUGUCGGACCAGUAGUAUUUAUUGCUUUAGAGAUUGCUUGUCGGCCCCGUACGUCGUCCCUUCGAAAGUAUGUUUUCCUUUUUCUUGAAACUGUAUAAAGUUUUUUUCCCCCCCUUAGCAUCAGCAUCUUAUAUAUAACAACUCAUUUGUACAAGGUUUUUAAGUUUAUAUAUAAAAUAAUGUAUAUAUAUUUUUGUUUCCCUUUUUUGACUUUUUUUUUUUUUUUUUUGGCUGUAUGAAACCCAGACGCCGCCAAAUGGACAUGAAUAGUUGCAUUUAAGGAUCAGUAGCAUUAACAAAAGUUGCUUUAAAAGCCAUUAUGUGAAACAAGACUUGAAAAUUAGCGAGGGACUCUUAGCGACGCUGUCUGAGCAACAGCGGGAACCCCCCGGGCUCCCCUUGAACUCACAGCCCAGCGCCCUGCCCCGUGAGGGCAUGGACUGACUGUGCAAAACUUUAUGUGCCAAAAUUCUCAGUGACUUCAGCUUUCUCCCUCUUUCGGAUGCUGUAAUUUUUGUUCAUCAUGUUUUGCUGUGAUGUUACAUAGGUAGAUUUGUAUGUAGUUUUAAUGUCACCUAUAACAAGAUGUGUUUGGUAGCAGAUUGUCCAGAAAAGCAUUUUAAAUGAAGAGGUAUAAACCCUUAAGGGCCAAAAUUCUGUAUAUUAGAUUACUCUUAAAGGAAAAACCAGCUGCCGCUUUUAUGUACACGUACGACAUACAAGUAGGUAGCAGACUUUAAAAAUAAAAAAAACCUAGGCAUGUUGAUGUUGCAAAAUGCUGUAUAAAGCUGAAACCUGUUCAUUCAGUGCCAUUGUAGUUGACAUGAAGCGAUUGUAAAACUGUCUCCGAUUUUUCUCUGGUUUAUUAAGAUGCUAACUAUAACAUUUUUUUUUUUGUGAAUACUUUGAAUGUUUCCUAACAGUUGUGAUGUUACUGUUCCGUUUUAUGCUCUUAUUCCAAUUUCAUUUUUAAUGGUUUGGAAGCCAUUUUUGUAAUGAAUAAAUGUUCAUGCUGUACAGUAUCUGUAGCAUGCCGUGCUGGAUGAAUAAAAGCAACUUAGUGUGUGCAGAUAAA